rnacentral:piRNA from 1 species
UCUUAAUUAGUGACUGAUGUGGAAAGAUGC